rnacentral:lncRNA from 1 species
GUAAAUACAUGAUUAAGGAAUCCGGUUAGUACUAAAAGUUGAUCCAAUAAAACAAGACGCUACUAUUAUUAUAUCUGUAAAACCUGCGAUGUGACGUCGGGCUUUAGAACAAACAGUCGCUUCACCAUCUUCGAACGGUCCUGAUUAGUUCCUCCACUCUCAACAAUCCAACACCACCACACACAUUGACACACAGUUUUUUUUUAUUUUUUUUUAUUUCUAUAAUUUUAUAUAAUAAUUCACCACAUCUAUUCGAUGACGCAAUGUGAUGAAACAUUAAGGGGAUGGACGAAAUUUAAUUGGUAAUCUUAGUCCUAUGAGGUAUAAAUUCUUCGAAUGUAUAGACCUUUAGUUGUGCAUAUAUAAUAUUCUCAAUCAAAUCGAGGCCAUUCAUUUCCUUAGUUUAUAACACUUAACAAAUAGUGUGUUCUGUACAGUUAGGCACAAUUAAGAAAAUUACAUACUUGGGAAUAAGUUAUGAAAGCGAAUAAAGGUCUA